CCUGUAAUCCCAGCACUUUAGGAGGCUGAGGCUGGAGUGUACUGGUGCGAUUUCCACUCAUUGCAACCUCCUGCUCCCAGGUUCAAGCAAUUCUACCUCAGCCUCCCUAGUAACUGGGACUACAGGCAUGCACCACCACACCCAGCUAAUUUUUAUAUUUAUAGUAGAGACAGGGUUUCACCAUGUUGGCCAGCCUGGUCUCAAACUCCUGACCUCAGGUGAUCCACCCGCCUCGGCCUCCCAAAGUGCUGGGAUUACAGGCUUGCGCCACUGCGCCC
rnacentral:lncRNA from 1 species